AUUCACUAGUGAUUGAGAGUUUGAUCCUGGCUCAGGACGAACGCUGGCGGUAUGCCUAAUACAUGCAAGUCGAACGCUGAAGCACUCUGCUUGCAGAGUGUGGAUGAGUGGCGAACGGGUGAGUAACACGUGGGGAACCUGCCCAUAAGAGGGGGAUAACAUCCGGAAACGGAUGCUAAUACCGCAUAGGUGAUUUUAGCGCAUGCUUUAAUCAUUAAAGAUGGCUUCGGCUAUCGCUUAUGGAUGGCCCCGCGGCGUAUUAGCUAGUUGGUAAGGUAAUGGCUUACCAAGGCAUCGAUACGUAGCCGACCUGAGAGGGUGAUCGGCCACACUGGGACUGAGACACGGCCCAGACUCCUACGGGAGGCAGCAGUAGGGAAUCUUCCACAAUGGGCGAAAGCCUGAUGGAGCAAUACCGCGUGAGUGAUGAAGGUUUUCGGAUCGUAAAGCUCUGUUGUUAGAGAAGAACACGAGGUGUAGUAACUGGCACCUCCUUGACGGUAUCUAACCAGAAAGUCACGGCUAACUACGUGCCAGCAGCCGCGGUAAUACGUAGGUGACAAGCGUUGUCCGGAUUUAUUGGGCGUAAAGCGAGCGCAGGCGGUCCUUUAAGUCUGAUGUGAAAGCCCACGGCUCAACCGUGGAGGGUCAUUGGAAACUGGAAGACUUGAAUGCAGAAGAGGAAAGUGGAAUUCCAUGUGUAGCGGUGAAAUGCGUAGAUAUAUGGAGGAACACCAGUGGCGAAGGCGACUUUCUGGUCUGUAAUUGACGCUGAGGCUCGAAAGCGUGGGGAGCAAACAGGAUUAGAUACUCUGGUAGUCCACGCCGUAAACGAUGAGUGCUAAGUGUUGGAGGGUUUCCGCCCUUCGUGCUGGAGCUAACGCAUUAAGCACUCCGCCUGGGGAGUACGGCCGCAAGGCUGAAACUCAAAGGAAUUGACGGGGACCCGCACAAGCGGUGGAGCAUGUGGUUUAAUUCGAAGCAACGCGAAGAACCUUACCAGAUCUUGACAUCCUCUGACAACCCGAGAAAUCGGGCUUUCCCUUCAGGGACAGAGUGACAGGUGGUGCAUGGUUGUCGUCAGCUCGUGUCGUGAGAUGUUGGGUUAAGUCCCGUAACGAGCGCAACCCUUAUUGUUAGUUGCCAGCAUUCAGUUGGGCACUCUAGCGAGACUGCCGGUGAUAAACCGGAGGAAGGCGGGGAUGACGUCAAAUCAUCAUGCCCCUUAUGAUCUGGGCUACACACGUGCUACAAUGGAUGGUACAACGAGUCGCAAAACCGCAAGGUCUAGCUAAUCUCUUAAAGCCAUUCUCAGUUCGGAUUGCAGGCUGCAACUCGCCUGCAUGAAGCUGGAAUCGCUAGUAAUCGCGAAUCAGAACGUCGCGGUGAAUACGUUCCCGGGUCUUGUACACACCGCCCGUCACACCACGAGAGUUUGUAACACCCGAAGUCGGUAGGGUAACCCUUAGGGGAGCCAGCCGCCGAAGGUGGGAUGGAUGAUUGGGGUGAAGUCGUAACAAGGUAGCCGUAGAAUCGAAUCCCGCGGCCGCCUGGCGCCGA
rnacentral:rRNA from 1 species